rnacentral:tRNA from 3 species
AUUUAUUUAGUAUAAUAAGUACAUUUGAUUUCCAAUCAAAGAGUCUAAAAAUUUAGAAUAAAUA